UACGUAGGGGGGCAAGCGUUGUCCGGAAUCAUUGGGCGUAAAGCGCGUGUAGGCGGCUUCGUAAGUCCGUUGUGAAAGUCCAGGGCUCAACCCUGGAAUGCCGAUGGAUACUGCGGAGCUAGAGUCCGGAAGAGGCGAGUGGAAUUCCUGGUGUAGCGGUGAAAUGCGCAGAUAUCAGGAGGAACACCGGUGGCGAAGGCGGUUCUCUGGGCCUUACCUGACGCUGAGGAGCGAAAGCAUGGGGAGCAAACAGG
rnacentral:rRNA from 1 species